rnacentral:snRNA from 1 species
UCAAAUUUGCACGUGGUUAUCUGACAUAUGGAACGAUACAGAGAAGAUUAGCAUGGCCCCUGCACAAGGAUGACACGCUUUCCCGGAGUGGUAGACCUACGGGUCUCAAUAUUUAU